UCCUCGGUAGCUCAAUGGUAGAGCAUUCGGCUGUUAACCGAAAUGUUGUAGGUUCGAGUCCUACCCGAGGAG
rnacentral:tRNA from 1 species